GUAAUACUCCCUUCGUUCCAUCAUUCUUGUCUCAAAUUUGCCUAAAAAUGGAUGUAUCUAUUCUUAAAAUGCGUUUAGAUACAUGUAAUAUUUCGACAAGAAUUAUGGAACGGAGAGAGUAGAUA
rfam:Brachypodium distachyon strain Bd21 chromosome 5, whole genome shotgun sequence.